CUCACAGACAGAUUGUCAUGAGGUACCUCCCGCUGCAAGAUCUGAGCAAAAUGCUGUUUCAGUUUAACCAGCCUCACUCAGCCUAAGUGGUACCUACUGUCACUGCAUACUCACUGAGAGCAUUGCCCAGAAGAGAUACAGAACAAGCCUCCCAGAAGAGUCUGAUUCAACUAGAUUCACAGCAGGGAGCGAGAUAGUGAUCACAGGUGCCUAAAGGCCCAGUCUUGGAGUGACAGUCCUGCCCCUGUGGAAUUGAGUGCAUCUUUGGGGCCCAGCCCACUAACGAGGUGGUUCUCAAGGAAAUUAUUAAAGGCUGGGGCAUAGACCAGAGUGACCCUGGGGAUCUGUGACAUUCUGCAUCACCGAAGCCCCAAGUCACUGGAAGUUUCACCAGGGACCUCAAUGAGAGAAAAAUCUGAUUCUUAGAAUGGGGAAAAUGAGAGUCAGGUGUAAUCCUCAGGGCUCCAUCAGGAAUAUGCCUGGCAAGGAAAAUUAAAGUACUGGUCCCUUCAGGUAUUCACUGUGGAUGCGCAUGUGCUCGGCGCACCCUGGACCAGAAAUUCUUCAGUAGCAGCAUCCAUUGGUCUACGCCUGCAUCCUGCGACUGCUUAUGCUCCCAGACAAAGGCAUAAGGGGCAGCACUGUCCAACCACCUCUCUUUUUAUUGCUCACUGUCUGGGAUGGAACCCUCCUGUGUCCAUUUCUGCUCUUCAGCAUUCGGCUUCCUCAAACCUACCCCAAGCAAUCUUAUGAAUUCAGGAUCUGGAGACACCUUGUGGAGCUCAACAUGAGGCCCUGUUUGAACCCUGCACCCUCCUGCUCCCCAUCUGGAGCCUCCAGGAAGCACCCCUCCAGCAUCUGGUCCUGACAGAUCAGAGCCCUCAAUUUAUCUUACAGAGAAGAAAAAUGCCCAAUUGCAUUGAAGAUUAUCCUGUAUGGACCUUGAAUUUAAAGUGUAAAUAAGGUACUACAAUUUUUGUAAUUCGCUUAUUGCUUAUAUUUGCUUUGAAUUUUGUGCUUAGUAAAAAAUUGUGUUGUGUGCAUUUUAAAAAUAAAAUAAUAAUAAUAAAUAAUUAAUAAUACUGAGUUCGAGCAAAAUUAAAAAGGU